AUGGCGGGAAGUGUACAGUGUUUUUUUUUUUCGUGUUAUUUUUCUGUUUUUCUGUGUUCCCGUUUAGCGUUUUGCUCGUCACUGUGCCCGGUGAUAGAAGAGGGACAGAGGCAAGCCGGGCGCCCCUGCAGGUGUGUGGACAGGUGUUUAAAGACUUCCAGACACCUUACCUGGAUACACGCGGGCUUCCAGUAUCCACAGGUGAGCCUCCGCCGGUCCCUCACUGCCUUGUUCAUCCUGGGAAAGAAAAAAAGAAACUGCAAUGAAGAA